rnacentral:rRNA from 1 species
UACGAAGGGGACUAGCGUUGUUCGGAAUUACUGGGCGUAAAGCGCACGUAGGCGGAUUUGUAAGUCAGGGGUGAAAUCCCGGGGCUCAACCUCGGAACUGCCUUUGAUACUGCAAAUCUCGAGUCCGAUAGAGGUGGGUGGAAUUCCUAGUGUAGAGGUGAAAUUCGUAGAUAUUAGGAAGAACACCGGUGGCGAAGGCGGCCCACUGGAUCGGUACUGACGCUGAGGUGCGAAAGUGUGGGGAUCAAACAGG